GCAGUCGAGCGGAUGACGGGAGCUUGCUCCUUGAUUCAGCGGCGGACGGGUGAGUAAUGCCUAGGAAUCUGCCUGGUAGUGGGGGACAACGUUUCGAAAGGAACGCUAAUACCGCAUACGUCCUACGGGAGAAAGCAGGGGACCUUCGGGCCUUGCGCUAUCAGAUGAGCCUAGGUCGGAUUAGCUAGUAGGUGAGGUAAUGGCUCACCUAGGCGACGAUCCGUAACUGGUCUGAGAGGAUGAUCAGUCACACUGGAACUGAGACACGGUCCAGACUCCUACGGGAGGCAGCAGUGGGGAAUAUUGGACAAUGGGCGAAAGCCUGAUCCAGCCAUGCCGCGUGUGUGAAGAAGGUCUUCGGAUUGUAAAGCACUUUAAGUUGGGAGGAAGGGUUGUACGCUAAUACCGUGCAAUUUUGACGUUACCGACAGAAUAAGCACCGGCUAACUCUGUGCCAGCAGCCGCGGUAAUACAGAGGGUGCAAGCGUUAAUCGGAAUUACUGGGCGUAAAGCGCGCGUAGGUGGUUCGUUAAGUUGGAUGUGAAAGCCCCGGGCUCAACCUGGGAACUGCAUCCAAAACUGGCGAGCUAGAGUAUGGUAGAGGGUGGUGGAAUUUCCUGUGUAGCGGUGAAAUGCGUAGAUAUAGGAAGGAACACCAGUGGCGAAAGGCGACCACCUGGACUGAUACUGACACUGAGGUGCGAAAGCGUGGGGAGCAAACAGGAUUAGAUACCCUGUAGUCCACGCCGUAACGAUGUCAACUAGCCGUUGGAAUCCUUGAAA
rnacentral:rRNA from 2 species